UGUACUGCAUGUCUUUGGACUGUGGGGGAACCCGGAGGAAACCCACCCGAAGGCAGGGAGAACAUGCAAACUCCACACAGAAACGCCAACUGAGCUGAGGUUCAAACCAGCGACCUUCUUGCUGUGAGGCGACAGCACUACCUACUGCGCCACUGCCUUGCCUCUAUCACUUCUUGAUGGCAGUAAUUAAUACAUUGGAGAUUAAACAUGACUUGAAAUGUUUGCUAUUACUUGAGCAUUACAAAAAAAACCAACCAACAACAAAAACUCAUGGAUCGACUGAAGUGACCUGUAAUGUGUUACACCCGUGACUUUCAGGCCAACUCGAACAAGCUUCUGUUCAUGAGACCAGACAGUGAAACAAAGAGCCGAGUAAUCCUCUGUGCAGAACCAGUCUUUUCUUCCAGGAAUAACUCUGAGGCUGCUCAUGAUUCGAUCACGAUGAGACCGUUUCAGGCCUUUAAAAACAGCCUGUUUUGAUGAACCUAAGAUCUUAUCUUUAGUUAAUUCGAUUCAAGUUUAUUUGUAGAGCGCUUUUCACAAUGAGUAUCAUUACAAAGCAGCUGUGCAAAAUGUGCAUACAUUACUGUCAAAAUCAGAAAGAGUUAAGGUGUCUUAUAUAGGCUAG
rnacentral:lncRNA from 1 species